rnacentral:ncRNA from 1 species
AUUAUAUAAGACGAGAAGACCCUGUGGAGUUUAAAAUUACAACUUAAAUAAGUAUACUUUAUUCUCUUAGGGAUUAAACUAAUAGAAACUUUAAGUUGAAUCUUUGGUUGGGGUGACCUCGGAGCACAAGAAAACCUCCGAAUGAUAUAACUAAGAUUAAUCAGUCCAAAUGCCAUAAGCCAGUUAUUGACCCAAAUUUUGAUCAAUGGAACAGGUUUCCCCAGGGAUAACAGCGCAAUCCUUUUUAAGAGCCUGUAUCGACAAUUAGGGUUUACGACCUCCAUGUUGGAUCAGGACAUCCAAAUGGUGCAGCAGCUAUUAAAGGUUCGUUUGUUCAAUGAUUAAAGUCCUACGUGAUCUGAGUUCAGACCGGAGAAAUCCAGGUCAGUUUCUAUCUAUAUAAU